rnacentral:rRNA from 1 species
GUUGUAAAGUUCUUUUCUGUCCGAGGAAUAAGUGUAGGAGGAAAUGCCUGCAUGGUGACGGUAGGGCAGGAAUAAGCACCGGCUAAUUACGUGCCAGCAGCCGCGGUAACACGUAAGGUGCGAGCGUUGUUCGGAAUUAUUGGGCGUAAAGGGCAUGCAGGCGGGUCGCCAAGCUUGGUAAGAAAUACCGGGGCUCAACUCCGGAGCUAUAUUGAGAACUGGCGAGCUAGAGUUGCCGAAGGGUAUCCGGAAUUCCGCGUGAAGGGGUGAAAUCUGUAGAUAUGCGGAAGAACACCGAUGGCGAAGGCAGGAUACCGGCGGACGACUGACGCUGAGGUGCGAAGGUGCGGGGAGCAAACAGGAUUAGAUACCCUGGUAGUCCGCACAGUCAACGAUGUACACUGGGCGUGUGCGCAAGAGCGUGCGUGCCGAAGCAAACGCGAUAAGUGUACCGCCUGGGGAGUAUGCCCGCAAGGGUGAAACUCAAAGGAAUUGACGGGGGCCCGCACAAG